AGAGUUUGAUCCUGGCUCAGAAUGAACGCUGGCGGCGUGCCUAACACAUGCAAGUCGAGCGAGAAAGUUCCUUCGGGAAUGAGUAAAGCGGCGGACGGUUAAGUAACACGUGAGAAUCUACCCUUUAGUGAAGAAUACCUUCGAGAAAUCGAAAUUAAUACUGCAUAAGUCCCUUCGGGGAGAAAAGUGGCCUCUUUGCUACUGCUAAAGGAUGAGCUUGCGGACUAUCAGCUAGUUGGUGAGGUAAAGGCUCACCAAGGCUAUGACGGUUAGCCGGCCUGAGAGGGUGAACGGCCAGACUGGAACUUUAGACACGGUCCAGACUCCUACGGGAGGCAGCAGUGAGGAAUAUUGCGCAAUGGGCGAAAGCCUGACGCAGCGACGCCGCGUGGAGGAUGAAGGUUUUCGGAUCGUAAACUCCUGUUAAGUGGGAAGAAAAGUCUGUGGUUAAUACCCGCAGAAAAUGACGGUACCAUUAUAGAAAGCACCGGCUAACUACGUG
rnacentral:rRNA from 1 species